UACGUAGGGUGCAAGCGUUGUCCGGAAUUAUUGGGCGUAAAGAGCUCGUAGGCGGUUUGUUGCGUCGGCUGUGAAAUCCCGAGGCUCAACCUCGGGUCUGCAGUCGAUACGAGCAAACUAGAGUGUUGCAGGGGGAGACUGGAAUUCCUGGUGUAGCGGUGAAAUGCGCAGAUAUCAGGAGGAACACCGGUGGCGAAGGCGGGUCUCUGGGCAACAACUGACGCUGGAGGAGCGAAAGCCGUGGGGAGCGAACAGG
rnacentral:rRNA from 1 species